GACAGAGGGUGCAAACGUUGUUCGGAAUUACUGGGCGUAAAGCGCGUGUAGGCGGCUGUGCAAGUCGGAUGUGAAAGCCCUGGGCUCAACCCAGGAAGUGCAUUCGAAACUGCAGAGCUGGAGUCCCGGAGAGGAAAGCGGAAUUCUCGGUGUAGAGGUGAAAUUCGUAGAUAUCGAGAGGAACACCGGUGGCGAAGGCGGCUUCUGGACGGUGACUGACGCUGAGACGCGAAGCGUGGGGAGCAAACGGGAUUGAAGA
rnacentral:rRNA from 1 species